UACAGAGGUCUCGAGCGUUGUUCGGAUUCAUUGGGCGUAAAGGGUGCGUAGGUGGCGCCGUAAGUCGGGUGUGAAAUUUCGGAGCUUAACUCCGAAACUGCAUUCGAUACUGCGGUGCUUGAGGACUGGAGAGGAGACUGGAAUUCAUGGUGUAGCAGUGAAAUGCGUAGAGAUCAUGAGGAAGACCAGUGGCGAAGGCGGGUCUCUGGACAGUUCCUGACGCUCAUGCACGAAAGCGUGGGGAGCAAACAGG
rnacentral:rRNA from 1 species